CCAGAUGUAACUCUUGAUUAC
rnacentral:misc_RNA from 1 species